CCUACGUGAGGCAGCAGUGAGGAAUAUUGGUCAAUGGACGCAAGUCUGAACCAGCCAUGUAGCGUGCAGGAUGACGGCCCUAUGAGUUGUAAACUGCUUUUGUAAGAGGAUAAACGCAGACACGCGUACCUUUCUGAAAGUACUGUACGAAUAAGGAUCGGCUAACUCCGUGCCAGCAGCCGCGGUAAUACGGAGGAUUCGAGCGUUAUCCGGAUUUAUUGGGUUUAAAGGGAGCGUAGACGGUCGGUUAAGUUAGAUGUGAAAGUCUGCGGCUCAACCUCAGAAUUGCAACUGAUACUGGUCGGCUAGAGAGCAGUUGCGGUAGGCGGAAUGUAUGGUGUAGCGGUGAAAUGCUUAGAGAUCACACAGAACACCGAUUGCGAAGGCAGCUUACCAAGCU
rnacentral:rRNA from 1 species